rnacentral:rRNA from 1 species
ACGGCGAGUGAAAGGGGAGAAGCUCAGCGUGUAGCCUCGGGGAUGCCCUCCAAGCGAGUGUGUUAAUCCUACGAUGGGAUGCCACGUAUGGGAGAAUACUAGAAGAGUCUGCGACCCGGCAAUCCGAACUGUUUGAUGAAACAUUGCCCAGAGAGGGUGUUAGGCCCGUAGGACCGUUGUUGUCGCGACUUUUCGCGGUGUUCUCUCGAGAGUCGGGUUGUUUGAGAAUACAGCCUUAAGAGGUGGGAAACUCCAUCUAAAGCUAAAUAUUACUGCGAGACCGAUAGCGAACAAGUACCGUGAGGGAAAGUUGAAAAGGACUCUGAAGAGAGGGUUAAAGAGAGCGUGAAACUGCCACGGGGAUAAAGCGGAUACAUUAGCGUAGUCGAACGGGGAGAUACAGCUCGUUCGCCGUCGACCUCUCGGCGCGUUUUUGUUCUUAGGGAAUUACCCCGAACACGUUCGCGCGUUUCGGUUCUUGGUUCCUCUAGACGACGCGUCAGUAAGCGUACGUUCACGAACGAGUCUAAUUCACACCUUAGUAGGCCGUCGCGACGGUUGGAAGGUUGUCUAAGGCUUGGAAGGUCACGGGAACCUUUCGUUAGCGAGUCUGGUUUCUUCGGGAACCUUCUCGUCGACGAAGGGGGACGCUUCCUCGAAUUUACUGGCGGACUUUCCGACCGGAGAAAUAAACGUUGCGUCUCUCUUUCAUAGAGAGAGUGAACGUAAGUGCGGCGCUCGUAGCGAACAAUUUAUCCGUCCCGUCUUGAAACACGGACCAAGGAGUCUAACAUGUACGCGAGUCAAAGGGCUCACUAAACCCCUAGGCGUAAUGAAAGUAAAUACGGAUUGAUCCGUGCUCUUUUUUAUUAAAGACCGGCGCAAAUCCGGGACCCGUCUUACUGCUCUUCGUUCGCGUUGAGUUCACGUGGCGGGUACCUCGAGCGUACAUGUUGGUACCCGAAAGAUGGUGAUCUAUGCUUGGCCGGGAUGAAGCCAGAGGA